GACCGCUCCGGUGGCCUAGUGGUUAGAGCGUCCACCUUUGAUGCGGGAAGUCGUGGGUUAGAUCACAAGCCGAGUCA